UUCAAAUUAGUCAUGCUUAUAAGUUAUCUAAAACGCAAGGCUGAGCUCAGGAGUUGCCAAAACCGUUCGAAAUGGUGGAA